rnacentral:rRNA from 1 species
GACGAACGCUGGCGGCGUGCUUAACACAUGCAAGUCGAACGGAAAGGCCCUGCUUUUGUGGGGUGCUCGAGUGGCGAACGGGUGAGUAACACGUGAGUAACCUGCCCUAGACUUUGGGAUAACUUCAGGAAAGUGGGGCUAAUACCGGAUAGGAUCUCCUGCUGCAGGGAGGGGGGUGGAAAUUUUCGGCUGGUGGGGAUGGACUCGCGGCUUAUCAGCUUGUUGGUGGGGUAGUGGCUUACCAAGGCUUUGACGGGUAGCCGGCCUGAGAGGGUGACCGGCCACAUUGGGACUGAGAUACGGCCCAGACUCCUACGGGAGGCAGCAGUGGGAAAUAUUGCACAAUGGGCGGAAGCCUGAUGCAGCAACGCCGCGUGCGUGAUGACGGCCUUCGGGUUGUAAACCGCUUUCGCCUGUGACGAAGCGUGAGUGACGGUAAUGAGUAAAGAAGCACCGGCUAACUACGUG